rnacentral:misc_RNA from 1 species
CCGAGUUUACAACUCCCAAACCCCUGUGAACAUACCUUAUUGUUGCCUCGGCGGAUCAGCCCGCGCCCCGUAAAACGGGACGGCCCGCCAGAGGACCCCAAAACUCUAUUGUAUUUAGUGUAUCUUCUGAGUAACACAAACAAAUAAAAUCA